rnacentral:rRNA from 1 species
CAGUCGCCACGGGAAUACGUAGGUGGCAAGCGUUGUCCGGAAUUAUUGGGCGUGAAGCGCGCGCAGGUGGUUUAAUAAGUCUGAUGUGAAAGCCCACGGCUCAACCGUGGAGGGUCAUUGGAAACUGUUAAACUUGAGUGCAGGAGAGAAAAGUGGAAUUCCUAGUGUAGCGGUGAAAUGCGUAGAGAUUAGGAGGAACACCAGUGGCGAAGGCGGCUUUUUGGCCUGUAACUGACACUGAGGCGCGAAAGCCAGGGGAGCGAACGGGAUUAGAUACCCCCGUAGUCCCUGUCUCUUAUAC